ensembl:lncRNA
AUGGCCUUCUCAAGGGGCUGUCAUCACCUGCCACUUUCCACAGAGCUCAUCGGAAAUACUCAAGAUCUAAUUUUGCCUAAAUCCUCUGGUGGUCACAGCCGAUGCUCCUCUCUGUGCAGCUCCGAGCAUGCUGGGUCCUGCUCGAGAAACAGCAUCCAGAAGCUACCGAGUGGCCAGCACGAGUUAACCGCUCUCAAGCUGCUUUAUGAUGGAAAUGAUGCUCUCGCUUUGCAGAGGGGAAAAUUGAGGCGUCGAGGAACGAAGCGAUUGUUCCUAGAGAUGCAGGAGAGAAGCGAGGGGCUGGAUUUCUGUGUCGGUGCGUUCUCCGCAGGGCUGCGUUGCCUCCCUCCCACGACUGAGCGGAUCCGUGCGGGAGCAGCCUCGCUGGCAUUUUGUGGCUCUCCAGCAGGUGUCUGGGGGAGCUUUUCCUGCUGGGCACCAGACUCUUGGUCUGCCCCUGCAGACAGGAGCCUGCCUGAGGGGUUUUGUCUCCUGCUUGGGUUCUGCACACGCAGCAGAAGCGAAGCAGUCUACGCAUGGUUUAAGCCUCUGUUUUGCAGCAGGCAAUGGGAACAGCAGCGCUCGGGAAGUGCUGAUGCUUGAUAUACACAAGUAGCUGUGUGACUCCAUCUGUGCUCGCUUGUCACUGUGUUUCUCUCUCUCAAAAAGCCAGCUUUUCUCUUAACUUACUUAAAAAUGACAUCUGCACAGGGCACAGGCAAGCCUGUGCAAGGAGCAGUCCCAUCACGGGGUUGCUGACGGGAAGCUGAUGCCCCUUGAGAAUUUGGGGUUGUUAGCGGCCGUACAUGGGUCAGGGCUAAGUUUCCCAGAAUGGCUCCUGAGGUGCAGGGAGAAAUUCAGGUGGAAAAUCCCAAAAGUGCAGGGGCCCAGUUUCAAGCCAGAGCCUUUAACCCGUUUCUUACACACACACACACACACACACACCUUUUUUUCCCUACUUAUGUGUAAAUUGGUUAAACCAGUAUUUGCUUCACGCAAGGCAGUGAUGAUGAAUGAACUCCUAAAGCACUGUGGCGUGAUUAAACAAGAAAUGCCGCCCUGAGGGAUGUGCUUCAUGGCUUCAGGGUUUAUGCUGGGGACAAAGAGGAGGAGAACACAGGCUGUGAUGACCGCGCUGACGUUUUAAUGAGGAUGAGAAUUAUCUUUUGCAGCAAAAAUCCUGACACUUCGGCUAAUCGCAAGGGCUCUCCUCUCUGCCUCGGCUUUGCGUCGGCAGAGGGCGGCAGAGAUUGGAAGAAAACACCGCGACAAAAAUCUGCAGCAGUGGCCAGGAAGGGGAGGGGGGAAUUAUCCCUGCUGUGCGUUUACACGAGCAACCUGCGUGUGCUAGGCGGGUGCAGGUCGCCCCCAGUCCCUCCUGGUUCCCAGCCAGCUCAGAAACCCCAGCGAGGGCUCAGCCCUGCAUCGCUGAUGAACUUCGAAGGAAUGCAAAUAUAUUUCUGUCCUUUUGGCCUGCGCUUUGCACCAGGAUCUCGCUCCUGUCAGCUGGCUGGCAGGAGGAAAAUGCAGUGGUUAAAUAUUUGCAGGGAAUGGAAAAAAAAGCAAUUCAGAAUGACAUCCGAGCCCCAGGCCUUGCUUUGAG